rnacentral:rRNA from 1 species
UACGUAGGGUGCGAGCGUUAAUCGGAAUUACUGGGCGUAAAGCGUGCGCAGGCGGUUCGUUGUGUCGGUGGUGAAAGCCCCGGGCUUAACCUGGGAAUGGCCAUGGAAACUGGCGAACUGGAGUGUGGCAGAGGGGGGUGGAAUUCCGCGUGUAGCAGUGAAAUGCGUAGAGAUGCGGAGGAACACCGAUGGCGAAGGCAGCCCCCUGGGUCGAUACUGACGCUCAUGCACGAAAGCGUGGGUAGCAAACAGG